AAACAUCGCCUCCUGCAAAAACCCAAAUAUAGGAGGUCCUACCUGCCCAGUGGCUAAGUUUUAACGGCCGCGGUAUUUUGACCGUGCAAAGGUAGCGUAAUCACUUGUCUUUUAAAUAAAGACCUGUAUGAAUGGUGAAACGAGGGCUUAACUGUCUCCCUUUUCCAAUCAAUGAAAUUGAUCUACCCGUGCAGAAGCGGGUAUAAACUUACAAGACGAGAAGACCCUAUGGAGCUUAAGACAUAAAGUCACCUGUACUAAAAACCCUAAAUUAUAAAGGAUAAAGCACAAUCAGCCAUUGACUGACGUCUUCGGUUGGGGCGACCGCGGAGGAAAAAAAAUCCCCCAUGUGGAAUGAGACAUUUCUCCAAACCACGAGACACACCUCUAAGUAACAGAACUUCUGACCAAACGAUCCGGCACUUAGCCGACCAACGAACUAAGUUACCCUAGGGAUAACAGCGCAAUCCUCUUCAAGAGUUCAUAUCGACAAGGGGGUUUACGACCUCGAUGUUGGAUCAGGACAUCCUAAUGGUGCAGCCGCUAUUAAGGGUUCGUUUGUUCAACGAUUAAAGUCCUACGUG
rnacentral:rRNA from 1 species